AUCUGAUGCUAGAAAUUUCUUGGAUGGUGAUCUUAUUGAAUCUUUCCUUGAUCUUAACCGUGUGAAAGGGAAUUAUCCUGAAUGGGAUGAGCACCAUCCAAUUCAUUUUGUUGGGCACUCGGCUGGAGCUCAAGUUAUUCGAGUGUUGCAGCAAAUGCUAGCCGAUAAGACCUUUGAAGGCUAUGACA